rnacentral:tRNA from 1 species
UGGCUCAGUGGUAGAGUGCUUGCCUUACAUGCAUGAAGCCCUGGGUUCAAUUCCUCAG